rnacentral:tRNA from 1 species
GCCAAGGUGGCGGAACUGGUAGACGCGCACGGUUCAGGACCGUGUUCCUAAUUUAGGAUUGCAGGUUCGAAUCCUGUCCUUGGCA